UUAUUCAGAAGACAAGUCGUUUUCCUCCACAAGUGCCAAACUUAUAUAAGUCUCUCUGCCUGAUCACGGAAUGUCCAUAGGCAUCUCCGCAUCUCCCCAAACGAAUCUCUCCUCUCAAUUUCCAAGCUAUUUUAGCAACCGACGUCCAGUUUUCUCUUGUGGGUUUUUAUCAAUCCCCAAGAAAACCCAGUCAUUGACAAAACUCCUUGGCUUCUCAUAAUCCAAACACUCAUUUUUGGAAUUUAUUCCUAACGACAAUUGUUUCAUUUCUGAUUAUCACCGCUCGAAUAUACUAUAUAAAGCAAACACUAAAAACCCAUCUGAGCCAGAAGAAUCUUCUUCUGGGGCUGCUUUGAUUUUUCUCAGCUGGUGGUUCUUCAAUUUUCAGAAAAUGGGCAGUGAGAUCCAGAAUUUUGAAGAUUCAAAACUGUCAUCUGAAGUAAUGGAGGACCAUCAGGCAUGUUCACUGAAGGAAGGUAAAGGAAAGCGGCUGUGGAAGAAGGUGAAGUAUCAGCUGGUUGAGUACCACACUUUACCCAACUACUUAAGGGACAACGAGUACAUUUUGGGCCA